GGAGGGGCGGCGGACGGGCGGCGGCGGCGACGGCGACGACGGCAGAGCAGGCACCGGCCGAGGAGCAGAGGGAUCGUCGCGCUCGCGGCUGACGGGCGGCCGGGACCAGCAGAAGUGGGCGGGGUGGCCGCCUCUCCGGACAGCCCGGGCCGGCCGGGCCCACCCUCCCCCCUCCCUAGCUGAUUGGCUCAGGCGGCCCGUUCUCCGCCCGUGAUUGUGCCGGGUCCCCAAUCCCAUUCGCCCAUGCCGCGGCCACGCCGCCCUGGGGGGCUAUGGAUCAUAUUGGAGCCACCGCCUCUAGUCUCUCGGCGGCCGUCAGGACGCGAUUGGUCCGCGGAGAGCAGAGAGGCGGAAAACCCGGGCUGGAUUUCUGGUGGCUUUUGUUCCCGCAAAUUUACGUGGAGCAUUGUUUUUGGGCGAAAACGGGGCCUUCGGCCUUCCUGCUUUAUUCCUGAGCGGUGUAAGAGGGAGGUAGUGGGUAUCUUCGAGAAACGGCCGCCGCGGGGUCCGGAGCCCCGGGUUCCAAUCCCGGGUCGGCCACUGCUAAGCUGUGUGACCUUGGGUGAGUCACUUGGCCUCUCUGAGCCCCAGGCGCCUCCCCGGGAAAAUGAGGGUAAUAGUAACCGCUCCCGGGGGUUUGUGCGAAGGUGUUCAGCUCACAGAGGGCCGGCACCGGCACUUUUGAGGCGGCUGACUUGCCCUGGGGGUGUGAUGGGAGGUGCAAGCUUUCUCCAAAAGCCUCCUCCAAAUGGAGCCUUUAAAUCCGCCUUCUUUCCGCGGCUACUCCACCAGCUCGCCAAACCGAGAAAAUGCAAACACAGGGGCGGGGGCAAGGGAGCUGACCUGGCUGGAAGUAAACAGAAACGCCACCCCUCCCCUGGCACUUGCAUUGGCACCGGAGGAUUGCAGGUGGGGGAAGGGCCUCUGCACCCAACCACCUUUAAAUCCCACCACUUACACACAGGCAAAGAAGCAGAGCCGUGGCGGCUGGACGCUCAUUCCUCCCCUGCCCUUCCCCUAGAGCGCUGCUUUGAAUGUCUGUUGAUCUAGAACGGGGUCUGUUCAUUCCUGGGUUCCAGGUCCCAAGCGCCCCGGGGGCAGCUGAGAGCAAAGCUGGCGCCCUCCCUACCCCGUGGAGCUCACACUCUGGUUCUGGGCAGUGCACAGUAGAGAUUGGUUGAAUCAGUGAAUGAACUUUUUCAGGAUAUGAUCCAAGGUGCUGAAAACUUCCUAACAAAACUCUUCAGCCGAAUCUGGCACGCCUAUGGUUCCAGCUACUGGGUAGACUGAGGCAGGAGGAUCGCUUGAGGCCAAGAGUUCAAGGCCAACCUGGGCAACAUGGUGAGACCCCCCCCUCCCCCCCAGUCUCUCCAAAACAAACAAACCCCACAUUCUCCAGUCUUAGGUCUUCAAGGAUGAACAGACAUUGCAGAAAGGCACGGUUGGGAACAGAAAAAAAUGAUCUCCACUCCCCCAGCCCCCUCCACACCUUGGGCACAUUUCCCUGGAGCCGCCCGAGUGUUCUUUGUCAGUGUAGGAAGAAGCAAAAAUCUAAAUGGAGUCAGGAUGGCCUCCCACAUGGGCACAAGGACAAGGCUGGGGACAGUUGGGUCUCCUCAUCUUAUUUCCCAGGUCUAGGCUGAUUUCUAUUAAUAAUUAAAUUAAUCGUUGUUCUCCUGGACCUCACUUCUUAAUGUGAUUCCAGGAAACUGGCCACAUUCCAAAAUUCAUAAUCUAAGGUAGUGAAAUAACGUGAGCAUCAAGACAGUUUGGCUGGGCUCAGAGGCUCACAUCUGUAAUCCCAGUACUUUGGGAGGCCGAGGGUAGAUCCCUUGAGCCCAGGAGUUCGAGACCAGCCUGGGCAACAUGGCGAAAUCCCAUCUCUACAAAAAAUACAAAAAUUAGCCAGAUGUGGUGGCAUGUGCCUGUAGUCCCAGUUACUUGGGAGACUGCGGUGGAAGGAUUGCCUGAGCCCAGGAAAGGGAGGUUGCGGUGAAUGGGGAUCCCACCACUGCACUCCAGCCUGGGUGACAGCGUAAGACUCUGUCUCAAAAACAAAAGAUUCAUUUCUUAUUGAUAAAGCAAGCUCCUUGGAGAAAGAUCUUGGAACCUCAUUGGGAGUGGAGGUGGGGCUUCUUCAAUGCAGCCGAGCUGGCUGUGAAACCCCCAGGGUUUGGUACCAAGUGAGCUCCAGUCCCAGCUGUGGCUGACUGUGUGAACUUGGCUAUGCAUUCAAGGGCCUCUGAGCCUCAGUUUCCUCAUCUGUAGAAGAGAGCCAGGAACCCGUCAUCCUGGCUAGCAGUGGAAGUCAAAGGUGCUCAUGGAAAGAAAGUCCUUGCUGGCUGGAACAAGGGAGGCCUGAGCUGUGGAAGUCCUUGGAUCAAGGUCCUCCCCACUUCCCGCUGCCUUUUUGGUCCUUCUUGCGUGCUCUUUGUGAUUUAAUGGCUUAGUAGGUUGAAUCAUGUCCCCCCAAAGUUUAUCUCUACCCCAAAUCUCAGAAUGUGACCUUAUUUGGAAAAAGAGUCUUUGCAGAUAAUUAAGGUAAGAGUCAAGAUAAAAUCACACUGAAUUAUGGUGAGCCCUACAUGCAAUGAGACAGUCCUUACAAGAUACAGAAAAGAACACAUAGAGACUUCGGGGGAAAGGAGACUAUGUGCAAGGAUGGCAGAGAUUGGAGCCGAGGGGUGCCUGGGCCUACCAGAGGCUGCAAGAGACAGGGAGGACCCUCCCCUAGAGCCUCCGGGGGAACAGCCCUGCCCACACCUUGACUUUGGACUCCUGGCCUCCAGAACUGUGAGAGGACCUAGGACCCUACGAGAGGAGGGAUCUGGAGGCCAGGACAGGAGCAGGACAACACAAACAGAGGCCUCAGAAGAAGACUCAGAGUGGGACAGGGGUUCCUUAAGUGAUGGGGGCUGGAAGUGCACAGAGAAGCCUGGUGCAGCAGGGAAUUUUCUCUCCCUGGGGUGCUGCCAAGAUGAAGAAACUGAGGUUUAGAGAAGCCACUUGCCCAGUGUAGACAGCGAGAAGGACAGGUCCAGGUCUGCUUGAUGAUGAAGCCUGUGUCUUCUUUGCUGUGUGAUCCUCAUCACGUUAGGGGAUUCCUGAGGAAGCAGAGGAUUUUGCCCUUGCAUUUGAGCCACAGCAGCUCUAUGGAACAGAAGGCGCCGGCGAGAGGCCCUCCUUGUCAGCACCAGGGACAGAUUGCUCAAGAAUCUGUGUGCUCCAAGGCACAAGAGGGGUGCUGUCUCCUUUCCUGGAGUUCCGUCUCAUGCCUACGUUUCAGCCAAGCACCAAAGGCGAUGCUGGCAAGCGGGAGACGGUCCACAGCCACUCACCGGCAGCCAGAAGCCAGGCUCAGGACAGCGAGGCCUCAGCUUACACAGAGGCCACCAAAGAAUGGCCCGGCAGGACAGGACGCCAAACCUCAUUUAUCUGAGCAGUGCAAGGCUGCCUGGCAGCAAAUAAUGAUUUGACCUUAAGCCAACCAAUAAUCCAACCCCUUGCAUCUCUGUGACAUUCUUCUUCCACAUGCCCUUCAGCUCCGUUUCUUCCCUGAACUGCAGGAUGUCUCUGCAAAGCGCAGAGGGUGCAGGGGCUACUGGACCUCCAAGAAGUGAUGGAUUUGGUCUCCAAGUUGAUCCCUUAAGAGAUGGCUGCUGCCCUUUGUGGGUCUCAUCACUGCAAUCUUCUCAUCCUAUCUCCUGGCUCUGAGUCUCAAAUGUUUACUGGCCCAGGGCAAGGACCCAUUCCCAUGGUAUUCUAGAUUCAUGCCAUCCAUCUCCGACUGCACUGCUGGGUGGCAGGACAAUGGCUUUGCAUCUGUGCUUCAUCCCACAGAACCCAGCUUCUGCCUCAGGGAGGAACCAACUGUACUUAUUUCUCUAGAUUCUUUUCCUCCUUCUUGUGGUUCUUUCUAAAAAUAGAGACAGACUGGCAUAACCAACCAGCAAUGAGCACUCCUGUGCCCGGAGGGAUUUUAUUUGUUGCCCCAGAAAGAGAAACUGCUUCUCCCCACCUGGAGCCAGGACCCAGGAGCCAAUGGUGACACAGUAGUGCCUUCACCUGAGCGAGCCUCUCCACUCUGCAUCCUGCCCCACAUUCCGGUCCCUGGUCCCACCCUGGUCCCGCCACCCCCCACCCCCCACCCCGCUCAACCAAAGAGCGCCUUUGCAGCAGCUGGCCCCCACCCUCAGCUUCUGGGAAGUGAUCUCCAUAGAAUGCCCUGCCUGAUGGGAGUGUCUUUGUUUGCCUUGGGGCUUUGGCCACUGGACAAUCUAACGAGAUCUAUGAAGGGGGUUUUGAGCCACAUUGUAUCAGGUCUACCUCCAGAAGGGCUGGUGACUGAAGGUCAACCAUGCAGGUGGUAUGUGAUCAAGCCUCAGUAAAAACUCUGGACACAAGGCUUGCAUGAGUGUCCCUGGCUGGCAAUACUCUGAACUUACUGUCACAUGCCGAUGCUGAGAAAGAAACACUGUCCUGACUUGAUGGAAGGAGGACACCCGGAAGCUCUGCGUUUGCUGCUUUCUGGGACCCCACCCUAUGCAUUUCUUCCCUUGGUUGAAGAAGGGACCUGCAUCCCUUCCCUGUAAUAAACCAUAACCUUAAGUACAACAGACUUCAGUGAGUUCUAUGAGUCCUUCUAACAAAUUAUCGGGACCCUUGAAUUUGCAAUUGCUGUCAGAAGUGUAGAUCAAGUUCCCACACUUCACAGUUGGUUAGCUCUUUACAGUUGGCCUAAAAUUUCAGUGUUAAUAUUGAUUAAUAGAUAAAUAGAUGGCACCUCUCCUGGU